UUGGAGGGCAAGUCUGGUGCCAGCAGCCGCGGUAAUUCCAGCUCCAAUAGCGUAUAUUAAAGUUGUUGCAGUUAAAAAGCUCGUAGUUGAAUUUCGGGAUCAGUAGGUUGGUCAUACCUAUGGUAUGUACUGGCUUUACUGAUUCCUCCUUCUUGAUGAUCUGUAAUGUCAUUAAUUUGGUGUUGCAGGGAGUCAGAACUGUUACUUUGAAAAAAUUAGAGUGUUUAAAGCAGGCAUACGCUUGAAUACAUUAGCAUGGAAUAAUGAAAUAGGACGUUCGAUCCUAUUUUGUUGGUUUCUAGGAUUGACGUAAUGAUUAAUAGGGAUAGUUGGGGGCAUUAGUAUUCAAUUGUCAGAGGUGAAAUUCUUGGAUUUAUUGAAGACUAACUACUGCGAAAGCAUUUGCCAAGGAUGUUUUCAUUAAUCAAGAACGAAAGUUAGGGGAUCGAAGACGAUCAGAUACCGUCGUAGUCUUAACCAUAAACUAUGCCGACUAGGGAUCGGAUGAUGUUAUUUUUAAUGACUCAUUCGGCGCCUUACGGGAAAC
rnacentral:rRNA from 1 species